rnacentral:piRNA from 1 species
UACCUUGAUGAAAUCCCUAGACAAUUGUUU